GACGAACGCUGGCGGCGUGCCUAAUACAUGCAAGUCGAGCGGACUGAUUAAGAGCUUGCUCUUAUGACGUUAGCGGCGGACGGGUGAGUAACACGUGGGCAACCUGCCCUGUAGAUCGGGAUAACACCGAGAAAUCGGUGCUAAUACCGGGUAAUAUCUGAGAUCACAUGAUCUUAGGUUAAAAGAUGGCUCCGGCUAUCACUACAGGAUGGGCCCGCGGCGCAUUAGCUAGUUGGUAAGGUAAUGGCUUACCAAGGCGACGAUGCGUAGCCGACCUGAGAGGGUGAUCGGCCACACUGGGACUGAGACACGGCCCAGACUCCUACGGGAGGCAGCAGUAGGGAAUCUUCCGCAAUGGACGAAAGUCUGACGGAGCAACGCCGCGUAAGUGAUGAAGGGUUUCGGCUCGUAAAGCUCUGUUGUUAGGGAAGAAACAGUACCGAACGAACUAGGUCGGUACCUUGACGGUACCUAACCAGAAAGCCACGGCUAACUACGUG
rnacentral:rRNA from 1 species